GGAGUUGGCUAGACAGUCGCUCUGCAUAAGCAGGGAGGAAAGUCCGGGCUUCAUAGGGCAAAGUGCCAGGUAACGCCUGGGGGGUGUAAACCUACGGAAAGUGCCGCAGAAAGUAAACCGCC
rnacentral:RNase_P_RNA from 1 species